rnacentral:rRNA from 1 species
AACGAACGCUGGCGGCAUGCCUAACACAUGCCAGUCGAACGAGACCUUCGGGUCUAGUGGCGCACGGGUGCGUAACGCGUGGGAACCUGCCCUUAGGUUCGGAAUAACUCCCCGAAAGGGGUGCUAAUACCGGAUAAUGUCUUCGGACCAAAGAUUUAUCGCCAUUGGAUGGGCCCGCGUUGGAUUAGCUAGUUGGUAGGGUAAAAGCCUACCAAGGCGACGAUCCAUAGCUGGUCUGAGAGGAUGAUCAGCCACACUGGGACUGAGACACGGCCCAGACUCCUACGGGAGGCAGCAGUGGGGAAUAUUGGACAAUGGGCGAAAGCCUGAUCCAGCAAUGCCGCGUGAGUGAUGAAGGCCUUAGGGUUGUAAAGCUCUUUUACCCGGGAUGAUAAUGACAGUACCGGGAGAAUAAGCGCCGGCUAACUCCGUG